rnacentral:rRNA from 1 species
CCUACGGGUGGCAGCAGUCGAGAAUCAUUCACAAUGGGGGAAACCCUGAUGGUGCGACGCCGCGUGGGGGAAUGAAGGUCUUCGGAUUGUAAACCCCUGUCAUGUGGGAGCAAAUUAAAAAGAUAGUACCACACGAGGAAGAGACGGCUAACUCUGUGCCAGCAGCCGCGUUAAUACAGAGGUCUCAUGCGUUGUUCGGCAUCACUGGGCGUAACGCGUGCGUAGGCGGUUUCGUAAGUCGUGUGUGAAAGGCGCGGGCUCAACCCGCGGACGGCACAUGAUACUGCGAGACUAGAGUAAUGGAGGGGGAACCGGAAUUCUCGGUGUAGCAGUGAAAUGCGUAGAUAUCGAGAGGAACACUCGUGGCGAAGGCGGGUUACUGGACAGUAACUGACGCUGAGGCACGAAGGCCAGGGGAGCGAAAGGGAUUAGAUACCCGGGUAGUC